CAGUCGAGCGGAACGAGUUAUCUGAACCUUCGGGGGACGAUAACGGCGUCGAGCGGCGGACGGGUGAGUAAUGCCUAGGAAAUUGCCCUGAUGUGGGGGAUAACCAUUGGAAACGAUGGCUAAUACCGCAUGAUGCCUACGGGCCAAAGAGGGGGACCUUCGGGCCUCUCGCGUCAGGAUAUGCCUAGGUGGGAUUAGCUAGUUGGUGAGGUAAGGGCUCACCAAGGCGACGAUCCCUAGCUGGUCUGAGAGGAUGAUCAGCCACACUGGAACUGAGACACGGUCCAGACUCCUACGGGAGGCAGCAGUGGGGAAUAUUGCACAAUGGGCGCAAGCCUGAUGCAGCCAUGCCGCGUGUGUGAAGAAGGCCUUCGGGUUGUAAAGCACUUUCAGUCGUGAGGAAGGUAGUGUAGUUAAUAGCUGCAUUAUUUGACGUUAGCGACAGAAGAAGCACCGGCUAACUCCGUGCCAGCCGC
rnacentral:rRNA from 1 species